UUCAACAAACAUCUGGGAUUUUGAAAGAACAUUUCUUACUUCUACCAUGACAAAUAGAAUGUCCUCUGAAAUCAAUAAGUCCUGAUAAAUUAAAAAAUCACAAUAAUAUUGUCAAAAAGAGAUGAACACCUAGUCUCAAACUAUCCACUUCCACACAAUUGCUAUGAAGACCGGCUGUGUUCAUUUGCUCUUGGAUUUUACCUGAGGAUUUUUCUGGGAUACAUACUCAAAAGAGCUGGAUUGCUGGGCCACAUGGGAAGUAUAUAUCAAACAUUACCAGAAACUGUUUUCUAAAGUGGCUGUACCGGUUUCCAUUCCCAUCUGCAAUGUUUGAGAGCUCCAGUUGCUCACACCACCCAUGAAAUGAUGAGAUGAUGGCUAGCUCAGGUGAUGUUCAUGGAGAUUAAUUGUUAACAGAAGAUGCUAAACCUCUGGCUUUCAUGGUCUACUAGGAAACACAGAUGAAUGAACAAGAGAAAUGACUCUUGGUAACAAAGAUUCUGGUGCUGAGAAACUAGAGUAUGGUAAAACUGAGAGGACCCGAGCUUAGGAAACCCCAAUAUUUUAAACUCCCCACCAUUGGUACUGGAGGAAGAUAUUAUCUUUAUUAUCCCAAACAGCAAACAACUCUGUCCUUUGCAUUGGAGGAAGAUACUUUCUCCAUCUUCCAAAGUUGUUUGCUAUAUAAACAUCCUUGAGAAAAUAGUCCAGAACAAAACCUCCCAGUGCUUCUGAUGAGAAGAUGUGCAUACAGAAGAAUUUGUUGAAUUCCUUCCCCAUUGAAUCAUCUUGGCAUCCUUUUUGAAAAUCAACAAGGAUUUAAUUAUGGACUCUCAAUUUGGUUCCAUUGGUCUGUAUGUCUAUCCUUAUGCAAGUACUACAUUGUCUUGAUUGCUGCAGCUGCAAAAUAUGUUUUGAAAUCAGGAAAUCAAUAGAAGACCCUGGAGGAAACAAGACAGAUUGUGAGCUGGAAAGAGAGAUCCUUUCCUAGGAAAUAAUACAACUGGAACCUCCUGUCUCUCAGUUAAGUGAAUGUUACUUACAUCUUGAAGUCAUACUUCAAAUAUGUUGUUGUGUAUUUGGGUUUUUACCCACCAUCCCCGGGACCAUGACUACUGAUUCUGGUCAAGUUAUUGAAACUGUGGUGAUGGGUUUAAGCACCUCUGUUGACUUACAUACCUCUUAGCAUAGAUUGCUUUUUGAAGAUUAAAAAACAAAUAAAGCAACUUCCCUAAGUUUGGGACCCAUUUGUUUUUCAUAGGUGGCUAUUAAUGAAAUAAGCACUGAAGAGCAGGGCUUGGGGGGAAGGAUCCACUCCCUCUUUAUUAACUAUCUGUUAGCAACAGCUGCCGAGAACAGCAGGUAGAUUAAAGCUAAUUUCUAAAAUGGGUUUAAGUGGAACAUGAAAUGUUUUCUAUUUGAUAAUUUCAAAUGACGUGUACUGCACUGAUUCCUGCCCCAUGGUAUGGAAUAAUUUAUGCAGAGAAGAAAAAUUGUACUCUCUCAUAUUGGCUCUAGCCAGCCAGCCAGCUUAUAAGUAUAUACUGUUGGUUCAAGGGAGUUAAUGUGAGCAGAUACUCAUUGUGGCUUAGGGUAAAUUCAACCCCAUGACGGUCUCCAGUUUCUUGCCUUCCUGAUGCUCAGUCAAAUGUGUCAUCUGUGUAUGAAAGAAAAUUUUCAUCUUGAGUUAUGUGAAUUGACAACAUGAUUGUCUGUCAAUAAACCUAUGUAUGAAUUUUAUCAUUAAUAAUAGAGAGUGUGUACUGCAAGAGGGCUUUCAAACUGGUAGUCCUUGGGCUUCUUUUGGCAUAUGCACUACACAUGCUUCAGCAAGAGGACAUAGACCUCCAUAUGGUUUAAAAGAAAUGUAAAACUCCAAAGAUUUCACCUAAAAAUUCAGAUCUGUGGCUUCUUUUUUUUGAACAAUCUUACCACAGGGAUCUCGUAUUAAUCCUUAGCUCUAGCUCUGGCAGGAGGUCUAUUGUCACAGCUUUCACCAAAUCCUAUUUUUAAACAUUCCAUUCACUUCAUGUAUUCAUGUAACCAGACUGGCACUGUAAGACUCUGUGUUUCAGACUUAUACAAAGACUGCUAUGUGAAGUGUAAAGCUUAGCCUGAACCAGUGAAAGAUGAAAAUUACAAUCAUUUUAAAAGGAAGGCAGUUGUUCUCUUCAAGCACAUAAUUCAUCAGAGCAUGGAAUCAGUCAUUGAAUCACAGCCUGAACAUAGUGUUGCUCCCAGUGUCCUUAGAAAUCAUUUAGCCAUGUCCCCUCAUCCUAUGAAGAAAACCUGAGGUCCAGAUUGUCUAAGCAACUUGACUACAAUUUUUACAGUUAAUUUCUAAAAAACUGAGUAUCUGAAAUACUAGUUCUCAACCAAAAUUUCAUAACAUUUUGAUCACUCUUGCUAUUUCUAAUUAAUGUGUGUUUAGUCACUCAGUUGUGUCUGACUGUUUCUGACCCCAUGGACAGUAGCCUGCCAGGCUCCUCUAUCAUGGGAUUAUCCAAGCAAGAAUACUUCAGUGUGUUGCCAUUUCCUGCUCCA